CCUACGGGAGGCAGCAGUGGGGAAUUUUGGACAAUGGGCGCAAGCCUGAUCCAGCCAUGCCGCGUGUGGGAAGAAGGCCUUCGGGUUGUAAACCACUUUUGUCAGGGAAGAAACGGUCUGAACUAAUACUUUGGACUAAUGACGGUACCUGAAGAAUAAGCACCGGCUAACUACGUGCCAGCAGCCGCGGUAAUACGUAGGGUGCAAGCGUUAAUCGGAAUUACUGGGCGUAAAGCGUGCGCAGGCGGCUUUGCAAGACAGAUGUGAAAUCCCCGGGCUCAACCUGGGAACUGCAUUUGUGACUGCAUGGCUAGAGUACGGUAGAGGGGGAUGGAAUUCCGCGUGUAGCAGUGAAAUGCGUAGAUAUGCGGAGGAACACCGAUGGCGAAGGCAAUCCCCUGGACCUGUACUGACGCUCAUGCACGAAAGCGUGGGGAGCAAACAGGAUUAGAUACCCUGGUAGUCCACGCCCUAAACGAUGUCAACUGGUUGUUGGGAGGGUUUCUUCUCAGUAACGAAGCUAACGCGUGAAGUUGACCGCCUGGGGAGUACGGCCGCAAGGUUGAAACUUAAAGGAAUUGACGG
rnacentral:rRNA from 1 species